CUCUUGCAGCCUGCGGAGCGAGGAGCGCCGGGGCUGAAACCGACCAAUAGGGCGCCGAGGCGGGCGGGGCCUGGUGGUGGGGGCAGCCAAUCGGAGAAGGGACGCGCUCCACGCGCUGGGCGCGGGGGGCUGCGGCGGCCACGUCGGGAGGCGGCGGGAGCCGGGGGGAGCCGGGGGCACCUUCGGGCGGCCCCGCCCGCGGGGAGAGAGGGCGGCCUCGCCUCAGCGCCGCGGUCCGGCCGCGGGCCCAUCCGGGGGGACCGGCAGUGCUGCAGCGCGGGGGUGCGCGUGGUCCUCCGCAUCGGCAACAGAACCACAGAAUCGAUUAGGCUGGAAAAGACCUGAGAUCAUCGAGUGCAACUCAGGACCGAACACCACCGUGCCAACUAGUCUGAGUGCCGCGUCCAGUCUUCCCUUUAACACCUCCAGGAACGGUGACUCCCCCACCUCCCUGGGCAGCCCAUUCCAAGAUCUAAUCACCCUUUCUGUGAAAAAAUUGCUCCUAAUGUCCAGCCUAAACCUCCUCUGGCACAGCUGGAGGCCGUGUCCUCUCAUCUUGCCGCUGGUUGCCUGGGAAGAGAGGCGGACUCCUACUUGGUUAUAACCUCCUUUCAGGUCCUGCGGUGGCAGUGCCAGCAGGAGCACGAUGUGUCCAUUGCUGUGGAUUGGCACAAUCUCUAUAAUGUGUUGCGCAGCAGUUGGGUACUUGGGCAACAGUUGAGCAAAGAGAAGAAUAAACAAAACAAAAAACAAAACCAACAAUGAAAAAGAAACCCGAAAAGACAACCUAAGGAAAAAAAACAACAACCCAAACCAAAAAGGCUACCUAAAGACUGUAGAGGGCUCCAAAUAAAUUUUUUGGUGAAGCUGUUAAGGGAAAAUCUCAACUUUGAACAGACAUUUUAAAGGUAUUUUUCUAGCUUUCAUGCUCUCAUGUAAAUUUGCAAAAAAACCUCUGAACUGUGGAGUAUCUGAAACCAAAUAUACACAGAACUUCUUUGGAAAAGAUAGCUUAUUUGUAGUGUCAGACAUGUGACUCUUUAGCCAUUUUAACUGGUAAUGAGUGUAAAACUGGUUGGUUUCUAGGGUAUCACUUUGCUUUCUUCAGGCUAGUUUCUAUUCAGAGAGUCACCAUGGGAGAAAAAGGUUGAGUUUGGCUGCAUUAACAUAUUCACUGUAAAGCAAAGGGGAUUUUGACUUUUGGGAAUUUUUCUACCUCUGUAAUUUUUUUGUUUGUUUCAUGGGUCUCAUUAAUGUUUGUCGGACAUUAAUCUUCACUGGAAUAGAGCUAGCAUUUGUUCUUUCUUAGCAGUAGGGGGAGGGUUGCUAACAAAUAGUGGUACUUUAUGUAUUUUUCCCAUUUUGUAAACCUCCUUCAGCAUUGUCUUCCAGCUCAUCAAUGGCUUUAGAGAUCUACAGGAUUUUUAUGCAAAUACUAAAAUAAAUCUGAAGAGCACUGCUAUAAAAAUACAUAUUAUUAAAAAAAGCCAAAGCUGUACCGUAUAUACUUAGUGUAUAAUUAAAUCUGCUUCCCACUUUGAUUUUCAAUCAUAAGUCAAAAUUUCACAUUUUGAUGUCUAAGUACCAUGUGCUUGACUGUGUUAGAAUACUGCUGGUGUCUGACAGCCAUAUUCAGGCUCUUUUUUGUAAUUACAUAAAACCUUGACUGAUCUUACCUCAGUGGAGAGAAUUAUUCUGACAGGGUGGUUAUUCACUUGUUUAAUAUGUAAUUCACAGCCCAUUUGACUUGAGUUUUCUUUUUGUGUAUCACUGUGAGUGCAUCUCAAUGGGAGAGGCUUCUAUUUCUGGCAGCACAUUGAAAUCAGUGCAAGUCUAAUAUAUCCUAUCCCUAGUAGACUUUGAGACACUAAACUACAUCAAAUUCUCAAAAUGUUUAAUAUCCUAUUCAAUGAACAUUUAUUACAUUGGAGACAUUUACUACUAACCCUGACAAUUUCUGCUCUGUUCUUUUGCCUUGGUCUCAGUUAUACCACAAACAACUCAUCUAAUUAGCGGGUACCUUAAUUAUACAGGUGUGUAUAACUCAGUGAUGUGCACUGCUAAGUAGCAGGGCAGGUUCUUCAGGAAAAAUCAGGCUUUGUGGAAGGUGUGCCAAACACCUUUUAACAGACAUUGAGCAAUACCAGAGAAGAAAAAAACCUGAUUUCAGUGACCACCUUUAAAGCAUAACUAUCGUGUUAAUUGUAUGAAUACAACUGCAGUGUUAGGACACAGGGUUAAUGUCAAGGUUGUGCAUCUUACUGGGCCUUUGCAGAUCUGACUGUACUGAGAAUUUGGGAAUUUUACAUUUAAUUCUGAGCUUCUCAGAUUUCUUAUGUUUAGUUUUCUAGGUUACCAGUUGGACUGACACUGCCAACUACUCCACUGAACCAUGCCCCCAAGCACCACGUCUACAUCUGUUUAAAUACCUCCGGGGAUGCUGACUUAACCACUUCCACAGGCAGCCUGGGGACAGAUUUUUAGAAGGACCUGCAGGAAUAGGACUACUAAGGGUAGAUUCAGACUAGAUAUAAGCAGAAUUUUGUUUUACAAUGAGGGUAGUGAAACACUGUAACAAAUUGUCCAGGGCGGUGGAGGAUGCCACAUCCCUGGAAACACUGAAGGUCAGGUUGGACUAGCUCUGAGCAACCAAAUAUCGCUGAAGACGUCCAUGCCCACUGCAAGGGGAUUGAACUAGAUGACCUUUUAAGAUGUCUUUCAACCCAAACCAUUUUAUGAUUCUAUGAACAUCUAAAUGUUCAUAGAUUUCCAUGGGCAUAUGAUACCCCACCCAGAUUCAGCUCUGAAUACUCCCCGAAUGGAUGUGUUUCUAGGUCUGAAUCUGAGACCUGGCAAAGCUGCUCCAGUCUUGACAGUCCUGAUUAGUUCUUCACAUUGCUCAUGUGUUAGGCCUGUCAGGUUGUGGAGAUGGCCAACGACCACCAUUGACUUCACCUCUAGCCUGAUGCACUGCAGAUAAGAAGGCUGAGGAUACUUGCUGCAUUUUCUGCCUGAUGUUACACCCAGAAGUCAGAUGCUGGGCUACAAAUUUCUUUUCUGUCUGAGCACGCAUCUUUUUGCAAACUAAAAGCUCUUGCUGCUGCAGGGUUCUCUCUGAGUCAGGUCUUUUGUUUUGCAUGGAAACAUCCCAAAGUGAACCCGAAACAACAUGACCUAAUAUCUUACUAGUGCAGGCAUUGACAUGGAUGGAGAAAUACUGGGAUUUUCAUUCUUUCUCUAAUUAAGGUUAAAUUACUCUAUACAACGUAUCAAUUAGGGUUGAGCAUGAACUCUUUAAAUUUCAGUUGUAAGCAAUUACCUUAGUCACUAUGUUGCAGAUUUCGCCCACUCAUGUCUUGUUUCAACCCUACCUCAGUUGCAACAUGUGGAGAGGAGGAAUGAGCCUGUCAGUUAUUCAGGGAGAGGAGGUGUUUGAUCAAAUUACAGGCAGGUAUUUCAGUGUUCUGAGUGAAUUCAUUAAUUACCGAGGUGCUCAGUAGAGACUCCUCCUUACUCCCCCUUUAGGAGAGAGGGUUAACUACAGUGUCUAACUCCUAGGACUUAAUGGGGUUAGAUGAUCCUUUAAUGAAGUGGAAGUCAAGAUGUACUUAAUUCCUGCGAUUGGCUUCUGUCUCCAUUCCCUUCACAUUGGGUCUUGUUAUUCCCAUGUAAGUGUAAAACAACACAAGUCCUCCAGAAGAAGCAGUUUCUCACUGCCUCCCAGCCUGAUCCUUGGCCAUUCACUCAUUCUGCUUUCCAAUCACUUGUGCUGGUGUGGCUUCAUGAUGGAACAGAUAAAGAAAUAAAUGUGGCUGAAAGCUAUCCCACAAAAGCAGUUGGGACCUGUUACGUGAGACAGGGUCCUCUACCACCUCUUCCAUGCUUGUGUUGGUGCAGAGUGGAGAUUGUCCAGCACAGCACUCCACAAUCAAGCAGACCACGGGAUUAAGGCACUGCAUGGGGAACCUUGGCCACUGCAUGUUAUCUGCAACACACUCUGUCAGGGAAGCUGGCUUUACAGGAUUUGGGUUUUGUUUACCAGGCAGUGUACUGAGACAAAGGGCCAGGAUAGCUACAAGCCUGUGUGUGUCUUUUUGGUGGAUCUAUUUAAUAAAGAUUUUCAGAGAAGGCUCA